rnacentral:tRNA from 1 species
CAAGGAAUAGUUUAAAGAAAAAUAAUGGCUUUGGGUGUCAUUGAUAAAAGUUAAACUCUUUUUUCUUUGA